UACGUAGGUGGCAAGCGUUGUCCGGAUUUAUUGGGCGUAAAGCGAGCGCAGGCGGUUCUUUAAGUCUGAUGUGAAAGCCCCCGGCUCAACCGGGGAGGGUCAUUGGAAACUGGAGAACUUGAGUGCAGAAGAGGAGAGUGGAAUUCCACGUGUAGCGGUGAAAUGCGUAGAUAUGUGGAGGAACACCAGUGGCGAAGGCGACUUUCUGGUCUGUAACUGACACUGAGGCGCGAAAGCGUGGGGAGCAAACAGG
rnacentral:rRNA from 1 species